rnacentral:lncRNA from 1 species
AUCUAGACGUUCACACUAACAUAUUUUAUAAAAAAAAAACAAAAAAAGGUUCAUCUUUGACCUCAUCAGAAACGAGCGCAAAACUCAGGAGCAGUCACAACGACGUCCCUAGUGGACGCGGAGCGACCACAUGCAACGACACUAUUAUUUAUACUCAUAAAUUUGACUGUGGGGGUGCCGGCAUCGAUGAACCCGGGGAGGGGGGGGGCUCUGUGGGAAGAGGAAGACGCGAGGAUGUGUGAGCGGUGGCGGCAAGUUCUCGACUUCCGAAACAGCGCGGGCUUCAGUUAUCUCUCGCGACUCGGUGCGCUGCGAUGGGUGCGCGUGUGUGAGCUGUGCUGUGUUGUGUUUCCGCUGCAUCUGGAUUUUUGGAUUUUUUUUGGAUUCGUGUUGGAUUUCGGAUUCCGGCGCCGCUAUGGCCUCCCCAGCGCCCCCCUCGGAGCAGCUCCUUGAUGAUGUUCGUCGAUUUUUACGAGUGACGCUGAAUCAAGAGUUAUUAUCUCCAACUUCCGAGAAACAAAGGCAAGACCUUCUCCAGAGGCUGUCAACCAGAGAACAAUCACCCGGCUCCUACCUGGACAUGAACUGUUGUAAAAAAAGUUACAACGCGGACAUCAGCCGGGACUUCCAGGAGUUCUACGAGGCGUUCGAGCCGGACGACCUGAAGAGCGCGCGGCGGAGGUCGGACAUCUCCUUCCUCAAGUCGAGCGAGCUCCACAACGAGCUGAACAUAAACAAAGACAACUACGUCACCAAGAACGUCCACCGCAAGAGCCUCAACUCGGUCCUCAGCUCGGAGCUCAUUCUCGGCUCGGAGCGGCUCCAGGACCGGAAGCCGAGCUCCACCAGCUCCACGACCGGCACCAACAUGAACGGGAUCAACGGGAUCAACGGGACCAACGGCCCCAACUCGGUGGCCAGCUCCGUCAAAUCCGAUAGCUUGUCCAGCUCCACGUCGACGAUCCCACAGGAAUCCGAUGGCGAGCGAGGCGCCAACUCGAGCGAGGUGCUGUCGAUCUCGGCGUCGGCGCUGAAGUACUCGGCGAUCAAGCACGGGGUCCUGGCCCGGAAAGAGCGGGUGCUGAAGGCGUUCGAGAAGGUGCGCAAGUACUGGGUGGGCGUCCUCGGGCACUCGCUCUACAUCUACACCAGCGAGAAGGACCUCCGCCCAACCACCGUCAUCGACAUCCUCGGAUACUCGGCCCGGCCCGUCUCCGUCAAGGACCCUCCCAACUCCAGCCCCAAGAAGGACUACACUUUCGAGAUCGUCUGCCCCGGCAAAAAGACCUACCAGUUCAUAGCAAGUAAUUGGUCCGAGAUGGAGACGUGGAUCCUGAUAAUAUCUCAAGCAGGGAACCAACCAACGCCUCUUCCUAGUCCAACGGUAGCUCCCAGUUCCAACGGCUGCUUCCUCAACGAGAGAUCGUUACCUGCCACCCCCGUCAGUCAGUUCGGCCCCGAACAAAUCUACGACGAACCCGAUUCCAAAGUCAGACCCGUCGAGAAGUACCCACUCAACAAUCACGUCAGUCCUGUACAGUGGCAACAGUACGAAUUCAUGAGUGACGACUCUUUCUACCACUACAUCGACGACACUAUGAAGGAGAAUUUGAAGAAUAUGAAGAACUCUUGCUUGUGUAGUCAGAAUGAAAACUAUUACAACAAUGUAGGAGAAGGAGUAAGGCAUUGCAUGCAGUGUGAUAAUAGGAGUAACAUGUACUACAACAUGCUAGACCCACCCGACAGUGGACGGAAAGAGAACCACCUUUUUAGCUGUAGUAGUCUUCCAAGCAUUCCCACGGAACAGGAGGCAAUUUAUGACAUCAUAUUAGAUGGUCAAAAGCAGCAGAUCAACGGGAUAACCGACCGGGACAAACUGCUCAACGAGAUCCUGAACCGGUCCAAAGAAGAGCCAACCUCGAAAACAAAACCGGACGAACCAACGCACGAAAGAACCGACUCGACGAGAUCCAGCGACGGCAACGAGUCCGACCGAUCGUCGAAGGAGAACGCCGACUUCAACGUCCAAAAAUCCGGUCUCCUCUUCGUGAACCAGUACGGCCCGAACCGGAUCCAGGACAUCAUCAACCGGAUCGAGACGACCUACAACAACAAGCGGGAGCCGACGUCGCCGUGCAAACGGGAGCCGGCGCCCGCCAACAAACGCUUCGCCAAAUCCAGUUGCACGACGACGCUCCCCAAACGCACGACUCUGUGCCGGAGCCUGGAUUUCAAGUCGAACGAAUCGAUUUUCGGAUCUCAGAGGAGCUCGGUCGUCCAGGACCAGCUCUACGAACCGGUUCAAACCUCGUCCAGCGCGUGUCCGUCGUAGAACCGGUUCGUUGCGAGGGAACGAAUUUUGUUGUUGUGGGUCGCCCGCCGAAACGGGUGACUCUACGAACCAGUUCGAACUUUCUGCAACGUGUUCCAGUCGUAGAACCGAAUUUUUGCAUGGGAGCGAUUUUUGUUGUUGUGGGUCGUCCGCCGAAACGGAUGACUCUACGAACCGGUUCUAACUUCCUCCAACAUGUGCCAGUCGCAAAACCGGCUAUUCGCAGGGGGAAUGAUUUUGCUGUCCCGUCCUUAACUGACCGUAUGUUGAAGGGAUUCCUAGGCUACAGGCCGUUCUUGAACGGAAAUAGGCUAAUUUAUGGCUCGGCAAAAAGGCCGCCAUGGAAAAACGGUUGUCACCGGUGUUUUUGACUUGUGAGAAUUCGUUGCACUGAGAUCACAGACUGCGCCUCCUUGAAGAUCGCAAAACCCUCGGGAUGUGAAGAGGGGAUCAAUGUAUUUUGUGAUUUGUAGUACCCCAUGCAAGUACCAGGGGAAGCAUUGCCUCGAAUUUCACUCCGAAAUUGACAGUUACUGAAACAUCAAGAAAUCUUUUUCAUCAGGCGUCCCCUGAAAAAUUGUGAUACUACAGUUUCGUAGUUUGAAUUGUUAUUUUUAGUACAGCACUUUUCCCGACCAAUAACUUUUGUGUUGCGAGGGUGUUCGGAUUUUUACAUUCUUUAGUGAUGAAAGAACUGAAACUAAGAUCACGAACACAGCUGGUAACGCAUUGGUUGCGCAGUCAAGUCACAAUUUAAACUGCAUUACUAAAUUAUAACACCAGUGUGUUCAAUCAUUUUACUUUAUGAUUGGGACCAGUGGCGAGGCGAGAAUGAUUGACCAUCGAUAUUUCCCCAUUUGAAAUUAUGGAGAAGAAUCGAUGAUUCAGGUGUUCGUUGUGAACACCCUGUAUAUCGAUCCUUUUCUACAAGUUUAAAUGACACAUUAAUCGAUUUAUCGCAAAGUACGCCACGCCAUUAAAUUGGGACUCUUUUUCAUGUGCACCUGUUUUUCGGUGACAACGAAUUUCAAUAUUUUCAGAAGGAAUAAGAGAGAAAGUCAGAUUUUUGAGAAUUAGGUAAACAUACGAGGAAAUUCAGUAAUUAUUUAUUCUAUAGCAAGACAAAGUGCGAUGAGGCGAUCGUUAAAGUAACAAGACUGAACUUUUAAUUUAAAUGUGUUUUUUUACCCGUAAAUCAUAAAUUGCAUUAUAUGAGAUCCGAACAGUUAACAACUAGACUUCAACUGAGAAAAUACUGUGACUAAGUGAAUCAAAAUUAGGUACCGCACGGAUGAAAAGGAAUGUAUAUGAUUACUAGAUUCGUGAUAAUAUAUGAUCCUUAGAAAAUUCAAUAGCCAGUACAAGAUUUUUGUGAGUGUAAAUCAUCCUCAUACUUACAUAAACCAGUCUUGAGACAAUCACUGUUAGAAACUGGUCACUAGAUUCCUGAAUGUGGAUGAUUCUUAGAAAUUGUUCACAUUAUUUUUCAUCCGUGCACUGCAGUUUUAACGAGAAUGCUCUUUAAAAAUCAAUUGGUUUAUAAAUAAUGAUUGUUAAUAGUUUUCAUAUAAGUACCGUUGUAUGUAAUUUUUUAUGUAAGUUUUUUUGUAGAUAAUUGUUGAUCUUAAAAUACAGCUUUUAUUACAAGCUAUCGUCUUGGAUCCCCAGCAUUAAUUUAUCCUGUCCAAAGUAUUAUUAUGAGAAAAUAGUUUUUGAUCGUUGGGAAAAAUAUUGGAUAGUCUCUAAUGAGCAAAACUCCAUUGAUUUAAAUAAAUUGCGUAGAAUAUAGAAUUAAGAAUAUGCGAACAAUGUAGAAUGGUUUAGAAUGUCCUGAUUUUACCAUGGAUAUAUUUUAAAGCAAAACCACGAAAACCGUAAGGUGGCUCUAAAUCCUAAUUAAUUUUUAACAAUGCAUCAAGAAUGAUAUCUGAAGUAUCCAGCCGUGGAUGGGUCGAUUUUUUCACAAGAAAAUAAUCACCUUAAAAUUAGAUUGACUAGAGAAGAAUAAGUAGUUUGCGCUGUCAUAUUUUCAUUUUAUUAUUUUUUAUUUAUUUAUUUUAAACCUAGUGCCUCGGCAAGACCGCUUAAUGAGCGGAGGAGAUGCGAACUUGGGCCUCCAAUACCACAGACAUCAGGAUAUAGAUUACGUGCAACAAGCGGGUCAAAGAGGCACAAACUGUUUAAAAACCGCAUUUGAAUCAUACGCAAAUUCAAUAAAAUUCCUUUUGAAAACUUACGUCAAAAAAGAUUUUAUUGCACAGGCAUUAGGCGUUAUACAACUAAGGAUGAGGAUGUUUGUGAAAAAAUCAUGUGAAGAAAUCUGGAGGGAAAUAUUGCAUCAUUCCGCCGCAAAAUUUGUUUGGAACUUGUCCAAAUGCACGGUUUUGAACGCUUGUAGUUUAUUCAUACAAAUAUGGCCACCUCCAUUUAACACCGCAAACAAAAUUAAAUUCCCGUAUACGUCCGAAUAGUUGAUCAAAAGAAUGACCAAGAUUCGGAUGAGUGAUAUUUAACGAUUUAUCCUUGUUAGGUGCAUACCACUAUACUUGCUCGGAGGUGCUCGUUUUGCCUAUAUUGCCUUUUGAAGGAGAAUCUAUGCUAGAUGAAUGCAUCGUAUCCUUAAUUAGGAAUUGAGAAUGUAGCACUGCCUCUCAGUAAUUGAACACAUUUGCCAUAGAGUAUCCAUCAUGGAGCACAUGGAAUUCACUGGGACUCAAAGCUCUAUUUGUGAAAUAUUAGCAGUACUGCUUCCAAAAACUGAUUAUAUGACAAGGAAGUUCUUUUAUGUACAAUGACCAAAACAAUAAUUAAGUUGAGAGCCACGAUUAUCAUAAACUUCAUAAAUGCCGGUUCUAAACGCAUUUUUUGCUUGAAUAGCUUGGGGUGAUAGAUGUUCUUUUAAUGUUCUCACAGUUUUUGAGAAUGGUUGUAAUUUUCGAUCGAAUGUUAUUAAAACAAUGGAGGACUGAAUGGAGAACUUCCCCACCAAAACCGAACUUGAUUUACGUCCAGUCAUACAUUAAAGCUUUUCACUUCCAUACCUCGAGAUUUGUGAUGAAUGAGGAUUACAUCCCCUGUUUUUUUUUCAAGCAAACUCUUUAAAAAAACUAAUCUUUGCAGCUUAUAGACUACCAUCCUCGGAACAAUGUUCUUAUCCAAAGAGGGUAAAAGUCUUUCACAAAAAAUGUACACUUCUUCAAUUAUUUGAGCCUGUUAUGAAUAUUUUAAAUGCCGGAAGACUCUUAGAAAAAAAGACAAAAAGAAAAGAGGGAAAAGUAGGUGAAUCUGAAGGAAUCUGAAACAAGGUUUUGUUUCAGAGGAGUGUUUCCCAAAAAUCGACGGAAAAACUUAACUAUUCAUUUUCAAAACUUGCCUUCUAGAAAUUUUGAAAUAUUGCUCAUUACUUUCAUUCGCCGGAGGCCCAAAUAAUUAAGAUCCGUGUUUUACUUGUUUACAAAGGUUUUCUAUACAUUUGACGUAUUCUGUGCACAUUGCUGAUUAUAAAUAUACUCACGUUUUCGUCCCGAUUACCUCUUGUUAUCUCCAAAAUAAUUGUCAGCUAUGCAGUCUGAAUGUUUUUGCAUCAUCUUUCAGCCUUUUUCCUGAUCGCAUAGCCACAAUAUCGCGGAACCGACCCACUAGUGAUAACUCUCUCGUCAAAUACAUGUAUUUUCUGAUUGGAAUGUGAUUAUUUGGUGAAUUUUAGUUAUUUUUCAAUGCGUGGCUUUAUUAAAAUCAGAGAUGAGACCGUGGUCUAGGAUAAAAGAGGGCCCGAAAAUGACUUGAGAAAAUUCUAGUGCAACCCUUAAAAUCCAGGCGAUAACUAUGGCGAAAAC